UACGAAGGGGGCUAGCGUUGCUCGGAAUCACUGGGCGUAAAGCGCACGUAGGCGGCUUUCUAAGUCAGGGGUGAAAUCCCGGGGCUCAACCUCGGAAUGGCCUUCAAGACUGCUGGUCUUGAGUUCGAGAGAGGUGAGUGGAAUUCCGAGUGUAGAGGUGAAAUUCGUAGAUAUUCGGAGGAACACCAGUGGCGAAGGCGGCUCACUGGCUCGACACUGACGCUGAGGUGCGAAAGCGUGGGGAGCAAACAGG
rnacentral:rRNA from 1 species